GCAGAUCCACCAAGACCUGAGGGAGGAGUUGGCCAAAGUGAAGACCCUUGAGUGUUUGGCUGAUGUCAGCAGACGGCUGAGACUGCGCUGCCAGGAGGAGAUAGCAAGAGGCAAAGAUUUGGAAGAGACAGAGGGUUGCCUGCCUUUCCCCCACUGGAUCUGCCAACCAUAUGUUAGACCUGUGCCAAAGGAGCCAGUUGCCAAUGGUAACAGCCAGGGGUCAGAGGUGAAGAAGACAGUGUGCCAGAAAAGGGCACUAGAGGUCUCUGAUGGAUCUGCUGACACUCUCUCCAAAAACAAGCAGAAGAAGAGAUCCCGCAACCCCAACAAGAACUUCUGUCCCAAGCAGAGACCAAAGUACAUCAAGUGUGAACAGUGUGGGAACCCGAAGGUAAGCA